rnacentral:rRNA from 1 species
AGUGGCGCACGGGUGAGUAACGCGUGGGUAACUGCCCUUCUGAGUGGGAUAACGUUUGGAAACGAACGCUAAUACCACAUACGCCCUACGGGGGAAAGGUCCGCCGCAGAAGGAGGUGCCCGCGUCCGAUUAGCUUGUUGGUGAGGUAAUGGCUCACCAAGGCGACGAUCGGUAGCUGGUCUGAGAGGAUGAUCAGCCACACUGGGACUGAGACACGGCCCAGACUCCUACGGGAGGCAGCAGUGGGGAAUAUUGGACAAUGGGGGCAACCCUGAUCCAGCAAUGCCGCGUGUGUGAUGAAGGCCUUAGGGUUGUAAAGCACUUUCACUGGUGAAGAUUAUGACGGUAACCAGAGAAGAAGCCCCGGCUAACUUCGUGCCAGCAGCCGCGGUAAUACGAAGGGGGCGAGCGUUGUUCGGAAUUACUGGGCGUAAAGGGAGCGCAGGCGGUUCAUUUAGUCAGACGUGAAAGCCCCGGGCUCAACCCGGGAGGUGCGUUUGAUACUGGUGAGCUAGAAAUCAGAAGAGGAUAGUGGAAUUCCCAGUGUAGAGGUGAAAUGCGUAGAUAUUGGGAAGCACACCAGUGGCGAAAGCGGCUAGCUGGGCUGGAUUUGACGCUGAGGCUCGAAAGCGUGGGGAGCAAACAGGAUUAGAGACCCUGG